CAUUGACUGUGAUAACAUACAAAUGGAAAUACUAUUAUUUAGGAAGAAAUAACCAGCUUGAAUAAUCUUACAAACUUCAUAUAACCAUUAAACAUGAAAAAAUUUGAACUUCACACACAUCAGCUUCACUGCAUUAACUACAAGAAGCAAUAAACACUAAGAGUUGCUUUCUCUCGAUUUCCAGCUAGGUCUUUUUUUAUUGCUGCAAUAAGAAUUUUCACACCAAGUCCUUCAUUACACGAAAUAACAUUAUGGUAGCCUAAGGAUGAGGAGGGAAAUAAGGUGGAAGGGGUGGGAAAUAUCCAAUCUUGGGGUGGUGGAAGUACUUUGGUGGAAACUUGGGAUGGUGGAAGUACUUUGGAGGAAGCUUAGGAAGAGGAGUAAUGGGUGGGAAAGGUUUCUUAUAUAUUGGAACCAGUGGUGGAAGUGGCUUUGUGUAUACCGGAACUAGAGGUGGGAAUGGCUUCUUGUAAAUAGGAAUUGGUGGAUGCGUAUAAACUGGUAGAGGUGGGAAUGGUUUCUUGUAAAUAGGAAUCGGUGGAUGUGUAUAAACUGGUAGAGGUGGGAGUGGCUUCUUGUAAAUAGGAAUUGGUGGAUGUGUAUAAACCGGUAGAGGUGGGAGUGGCUUCUUGUAAAUAGGAAUUGGUGGAUGCGUAUAAACCGGUGGUUUUGGCUUUGGUUUGUAAACUGGAAUUGGUGGAUGCGUAUAAACCGGUGGCUUUGGCUUUG
rnacentral:lncRNA from 1 species